UUUUUUGUCAUAACAUUUUAUGAAUAAUUUAUAUUUAUACUUAUAAAUUAUUGCUGGGUUUUUUUCUUUCUAGAUAACAUAGAAUUAAAUGAUAGUACGUAAUCAGUUUUAUUUUAUAAAAUAUGUCUUAUGGUCUUUAAUCUUACAAAGUUUUCGAUUAUGAGAUGUAAGAAAUGCAUGGAAAUUAUCUAUGGAAAUCGUAAAAUGUAUGAGUUCCAUUGAUUUCAUAAUAUAGUUAGGUAAAACGGUAUUUAAUAUCUAUAUAACUUAAUUAUCUGCCAAAAUUACUUAUUUAUCAAUAUCGUAUUCAUAAAUUAAUAUAUGUAUAGAUUAAUAUUAAUUACCUUUUUAGUACACAUGCAUGAUACAUAUUAUAAUACAUCACGAUAUAAUUACAUAAUAUUUUGCCAAUGAUAUCAAAAGUCAUUAAGUAAUAACUCCAAAUAAAAUAAACGUGUUCUUACCUAUAGGUAUAGUAAUAGCACUAUAGUGCUUUUCAUCUUUUGAUGCAUAUAGCCAUAUAGGCCAAUAAGGGGAAAUUUCCAUUAAAAUCCAUAAAAAUGUUAUGAACAUUUUUUUUGUGUUCAAUAGUUUCCCGUCAAACAUAUAGUAACAGAACAAAUUUUUUAAUGUUUAAAAAUUAUUAUGUUUACUCUACGGACUAAUUUAGUGUUGAAAACUGUUUUAUUUUUUCCUGAAAAACUUCGUUAUUGGAGUAACUACAUAGUGGCUUUUGACGGCAGAACAUUAGUUAAUUUAUGUAUUUCAUAGAUAGCGAAUCAAAGGUUUAUAAUUAUUUAUUAAAUGGUAUGUUUAUUAUUUUAUUUAUAGCAUAUAUACGUACGUGCAUUUUGUAUUUUUAAUUUUUAUUUGUGUUUAUUUUAUGUAUUUCAUCGCCUACCUUCACUAUGAUCCCGUCCUCAAAUGUUUACUUACUCACUGUGAGUACUUUGUUGAAUAUGAAUCCGUUCAGUUAUGUCUUGUCACCUAAUACAUAGUAUGAGUGUAAAACUAUUAUUACCUAUACACAUUUUAUAACAUGUUGACUCUGUGUUCAUAAACUAUAAAUAUAAACCAAUAUUAAAAAAUUAUUAUUUAUCAAUAUGUUGGUCCAUUUCAAGUUACUUUUAACAUACUAUUUUAAAAGCGUUUGUAUACUUUUAUAAUUAUGUGUUAAACAUUUAACAGCAGGUCCUUUCAAAAUAAUAUCAUAUUAAUAAGUUAUUUAACACAUAAGUUAUUAUAAUUUUUUUUUUUUUAGAGGCAAUAGCGGAUGACUUGGCAGUCAGAUACAAAAACCAUUUGAUAUGUAUGUACCUUAUAUGAUUAAUAUGACAUACUACUAUAGUAUUAUACAUUACAAUUGUUUAUAAAUACAACUGUAAUAGUUACGAUAAUAAUAUUGCGUUUAAAUGCUGUUAUAAUUAUUUUUUAUAUUGAAUACAUGAUAAUAUUAAAUACAAAAAAAUGAUUUGAGUAAAUGGUGUUGGCUUAAGUUAGAGACUAAUUACGGCAACGAUCCAGUAAAUUCUGAGUCGGGAUCUGAGUCUGAUAGUUGACACAAUAUGCCAUGUUGGGUAUUAUAAUAUAUUUUAUUUUUUGGUUUUUAAUUCUUUUGACAUUUUUAUGUCUCAGUAAAAAGCAUUUGUAAGAUUUUUCAAAAUCAGAAAAUGUAAUAAUUAUUUUUUAGCUUAUGAUAAUAGAAACUUGCAAUAUUUUUAUUGUAAAAAUAACUACAAUCGCUUUGUGCUGAAAAAAAAAUGUUGCCGGGUUUGCGGUAAAAAUUGCUCUGAGUUAAAUAAGUAUUGCGUAUAUAAUCAAUUAUCAAGUACCUACUAUGAAUUUAUAAUCUAAUGCACAUAAUCUAAAAGUCUAAAAUCUAAAUGACCAAUUUAUUUUACAGAUACUAAUCCGAUUCGUAGUUUCUGUAUUUAUAGAAUGAAAGAAAACUUCAAAUUUUUCAAAAACAUUUUAAAUCUAAUUUAACGUUUCAAUAUUUUGUCUAUGUUUUUGCUAACUACCAACAUGGAUGUACGAUGUACAUUGUACCUACCUAUUGAACCAUUUCAGCUACCAAGAAUUCUCCAUUUUACAAGCCCAGUCAUUUUUAAUUUUAAUUAUAUACUAUAGAUAUUACUAUGGAAUUUCCCUUACAUGAUUUACAAAAAACAAAAUUCACUUAUGAUUUGGAAGAAUAAAAAUGCUUUAUUUUUUUUGCUUCCAGUCCAAUAAAAGACACAUUUAUUAUAAUAAACUGCAUACAUUUUCUAUCUUUUCAUAUAUAUUGUAACACAAUUUACCUCUUUCCCUUUAAUCAUUACAAUUGCUAAUAUUAUUGCUAUUUUUCCUCCAUUAUACAAAUUUAUAUAAUAUAUAGGUACGUAUUAAUUAGUAUGCUGUGUCAUACAGAAACCUAUGUAAUGUGUGCAGUUCGCUUUAAAUUAAUAAAAUAGUUAUA